rnacentral:rRNA from 1 species
UUUAAGCUUCCUACGGGAGGCUGCAGUGGGGAAUCUUGCGCAAUGGGCGAAAGCCUGACGCAGCCAUGCCGCGUGAAUGAUGAAGGUCUUAGGAUUGUAAAAUUCUUUCACCGGGGACGAUAAUGACGGUACCCGGAGAAGAAGCCCCGGCUAACUUCGUGCCAGCAGCCGCGGUAAUACGAAGGGGGCUAGCGUUGCUCGGAAUUACUGGGCGUAAAGGGAGCGUAGGCGGACAUUUAAGUCAGGGGUGAAAUCCCGGGGCUCAACCUCGGAAUUGCCUUUGAUACUGGGUGUCUUGAGUAUGAGAGAGGUGUGUGGAACUCCGAGUGUAGAGGUGAAAUUCGUAGAUAUUCGGAAGAACACCAGUGGCGAAGGCGACACACUGGCUCAUUACUGACGCUGAGG